rnacentral:rRNA from 1 species
GAGUUUGAUCUUGGCUCAGAUUGAACGCUGGCGGCAGGCCUAACACAUGCAAGUCGAGCGGAUGACGGGAGCUUGCUCCUUGAUUCAGCGGCGGACGGGUGAGUAAUGCCUAGGAAUCUGCCUGGUAGUGGGGGACAACGUUUCGAAAGGAACGCUAAUACCGCAUACGUCCUACGGGAGAAAGCAGGGGACCUUCGGGCCUUGCGCUAUCAGAUGAGCCUAGGUCGGAUUAGCUAGUUGGUGGGGUAAAGGCUCACCAAGGCGACGAUCCGUAGCAGGUCUGAGAGGAUGAUCUGCCACACUGGAACUGAGACACGGUCCAGACUCCUACGGGAGGCAGCAGUGGGGGAUUUUGGACAAUGGGGGCAACCCUGAUCCAGCCAUGCCGCGUGAGUGAAGAAGGCCUU